rnacentral:rRNA from 1 species
UGAUCCUGGCUCAGGAUGAACGCUAGCGGCAGGCCUAAUACAUGCAAGUCGAACGGUAACAUUGGUGCUUGCACCAGAUGACGAGUGGCGCACGGGUGCGUAACGCGUAUGCAACCUACCUUUUACUAGAGUAUAGCCCAGAGAAAUUUGGAUUAAUCCUCUAUAAUAUCUUUUAAUUUCAUGAUUUUAAGAUUAAAGUUUUAACGGUAAAAGAUGGGCAUGCGUCCUAUUAGUUUGUAGGUGAGGUAACGGCUCACCUAGACUACGAUAGGUAGGGGCCCUGAGAGGGGGAUCCCCCACACUGGUACUGAGACACGGACCAGACUCCUACGGGAGGCAGCAGUAAGGAAUAUUGGACAAUGGACGAAAGUCUGAUCCAGCCAUGCCGCGUGCAGGAUGACAGCCCUACGGGUUGUAAACUGCUUUUAUACAGGAAGAAACACUCCGACGUGUCGGAGCUUGACGGUACUGUAAGAAUAAGGAUCGGCUAACUCCGUGCCAGCAGCCGCGGUAAUACGGAGGAUCCAAGCGUUAUCCGGAAUCAUUGGGUUUAAAGGGUCCGCAGGCUGUUUUUUAAGUCAGAGGUGAAAUCCUGCAGCUCAACUGUAGAACUGCCUUUGAUACUGGAAAACUUGAGUUAUUGUGAAGUGGUUAGAAUGUGUGGUGUAGCGGUGAAAUGCAUAGAUAUCACACAGAAUACCGAUUGCGAAGGCAGAUCACUAACAAUAUACUGACGCUCAUGGACGAAAGCGUGGGGAGCGAACAGGAUUAGAUACCCUGGUAGU